CCCUAUUAUUUUUGAUGUUAAUUUUUUUGACCUGAGUAGUAUUAGUUAUGUUCUUGAAACUUAAAGAAUUUGGCGGUAUUUCAUUCUGUUCAGAGGAAUCUGCCUCGUUAUCGAUAAUCCGCGUUGGACCUUGCUUGAUUUAAUUUGUUUGUAUACCGCCGUUAUAAUGAGUAUCCUUUUAGGGUUUUUUAAUUUUCUUAUUCUAUGAUUUUAGUUUAUUUCAGGUCAAGGUGCAGCUUAUGGUCAAGUGUUUGGUGGAUUACAUUUAUUAAUUUAUUAUCGGAUCACUUGUUGUAAUUCUGGUGUGAAGUUGGAUUUGAUUGUAACUUAAUUAAAGUUUGUUUUGGUGAUUUAUGUUUUGAAAUAUGCACACAUCGCCCGUCGCUCUCGUUAUUUUAGGCGAGAUAAGUC
rnacentral:rRNA from 1 species